AGCUUUGCCCAGUGGCAGUAUCGUGGCCAAUGAGGUUUAUCCGAGGUGUGAUUAUUGCUAAUUGAAACACAAAUAAUUCCUCAGAAUAAGUCAGACUGUGCGUGCCUGUUUCAAAAUGACCUGAAAUAUUAGUGUAAAUGUACAUUU
rnacentral:snRNA from 14 species